GUUCAUUUAUUUAACUAUGAAAACAAAUUCCAACACUCGAAUCACUGGCAUCCGAGUUGUGCUUGUCCCCUACAGAGAAGAACACGUAGAAAAGUUCGUUUUCAUCCUCAAUUAUUUCUCUGAAACGUAUCCCUUCGUUAUUAUGUACCACGAGUGGAUGAAAUCUCCGGAACUUCAACAUCUGACGGGGUCUGAACCUCUUUCACUUGACGAUGAAUAUAAAAUGCAAAAAUCUUGGAGAGAAGAUGAAGACAAGUGCACUUUUAUCAUUCUUGACGCUGACAUGUACUCCAGAACGAAUAAUGAAAUUGAAUCGAUGAUUGGUGAUACCAAUUUGUAUUUUAAUGAUGCUGAUGAUGGUCAUGCUGCUGAAUGUGAAAUAAUGAUUGCAGAGGAGAAAGCAAGGGGUCGAAAAUUCGGGUGGGAGGCCAUGAUCUUGAUGUUGAGAUACGGAAUAGAAGUUCUAAAAGUGUCUAAAUAUUCAGCAAAAAUCAAAAUGAAUAACGAAAAAAGCAUCCGAAUGUUUGAAAAACUCAAAUUUACAGAGGUGAGCAGGAGUGAAAUUUUCAAAGAAAUUUCCUUUUCGCGGAAUAUCGAGAAAGAAUGGAGUGAAUGGCUUGUGCUGGAAACUUCCGGUGCCCAUACAGAAGAUCAAUACUGUUCACAUGAGCUGUAAAAAACGUGCCAUAAUCAUUCCAUUGACCUUCUGCAUCAAAUCUCUUCAUUCUUUAAAAAUCAUUAAACAAAUAAAAAUAAAAAUUCUAUAAACUCAAUUAGUUAUUGUUGAGGCACUAGCGAUUCAAUAGAAUUUAAAAAAAAGAGUAAAUGUCUAGGAUUUUCCAACAAAAAUUCUUCACCAGAAAAAUCGGAAAAUUCCAAUAGUCGAAUCGGGAGA